AGGAAUACAUCGGAAUCUACUCUGUCGUGGGGGAGUAACGUAGGGAAACUUACGCUAAUACCGCAUACGACCUACGGGUGAAAGCAGGGGAUCUUCGGACCUUGCGCGAUUGAAUGAGCCGAUGUCGGAUUAGCUAGUUGGCGGGGUAAAGGCCCACCAAGGCGACGAUCCGUAGCUGGUCUGAGAGGAUGAUCAGCCACACUGGAACUGAGACACGGUCCAGACUCCUACGGGAGGCAGCAGAU
rnacentral:rRNA from 1 species